rnacentral:rRNA from 1 species
GCACUCCCGGGGCGUCUCUAUCUCAUUGCGAGAGGAGGCGCACCUAGAGCGUACACGCUGAUACCCGAAAGAUGGUGAACUAUGCCUGGCCAGGACGAAGCCAGGGGAAACCCUGGUGGAGGUCCGCAGCGAUUCUGACGUGCAAAUCGAUCGUCGGAGCUGGGUUUAGGGGCGAAAGACCAAUCGAACCAUCUAGUAGCUGGUUCCCUCUGAAGUUUCCCUCAGGAUAGCUUGCGCUCGGAAACAACGAGUCUCAUCCGGUAGAGCGAAUGAUUAGAGGCCUUGGGGUCGAAACGACCUCAACCUAUUCUCAAACUCCAAAUAGAUGAGAACCCCGGCUUUCUUGAACUCAAUUUCUAGUGAAGCCGGGGGCUCGGAUCAGAGUGCCAAGUGGGCCAAUUUUGGUAAGCAGAACUGGCGCUGUGGGAUGAACCAAACGCGGAGUUAAGGCGCCUCAAUCGACGCUCAUGUGAAACCAUGAAAGGCGUUGGUUGCUUAAGACAGCAG